CCAGACAGGGGUGUGACAUGGGUUGUUCCGGCGACACCUAUGCUGCUCCUACCUAUGUUUUGCUGUAUUAAACUGGUGCCGAAGAAGUAGGCAGGACGUCGAAAGCAUGUCUAUGAUCGAAAGGGCUUAUUUUCGAUCCAUUAAGUGAAGUAAACUAUUCAGAUUUGGCUCUAACACGAUGGGUUACACGACAUCACUGAAAAUCUGUGUUAUUCUGUCGAUGUGUUGGGAUUUGUAAGUUGAAAGUUUGCAAGACUGGCAUUCCCUGCAGGAACAGCGGACAGAUCCACCAAUGAUGAUUUUUUUUCUAAAGAUGCCAAAUCUUCAGAUACAUUCAAUUUGACCUGUAUGGUCACAGGCCUCUACUCAAAAAACACUAAGAUCAGAAUCCUGUGGAAGGACUGGCCUGUAGGGAAAGGUCAUGAAAGAUUGCCCAAUCAUGAUGGAACCUACGGGAUCAAACUGAGUGCGUACGCACACAAAUCAAAGAUAAAUGAUUAUCGAUGUGAGGUGAAUCACGGGGACCAGAAAUACACACUUGUAGUCGAAUGGCCUAAAGAAUUAGAUCUGGACAAGACAAUACAAGAAUUUGGAGAUUCUCAAAAGUCUGAUGGAUAUCCCCCCUCGAUUGGAAAGUGGUUUGCAUGUGUGCUGCUGGCGCUGGGCCUGGUGCUGGGGCUCGUGGUGCUCUUGGGAUACAUUUGUGUGAUACAUUUUGUGUGA
rnacentral:lncRNA from 1 species